rnacentral:rRNA from 1 species
AUACGGAGGGUGCAAACGUUGUUCGGAAUUACGGGGCGUAAAGCGCACGUAGGCGGUUUGUUAAGUCAGAUGUGAAAGUCCACAGCUCAACUGUGGAAGUGCAUUUGAAACUGGCAGACUUGAGUACUGGAGGGGGUGGUGGAAUUCCCGGUGUAGAGGUGAAAUUCGUAGAUAUCGGGAGGAAUACCGGUGGCGAAGGCGACCACCUGGCCAGAUACUGACGCUGAGGUGCGAAAGCGUGGGGAGCAAACAGGAUUAGAAACCCUAGUAGUCC